UACGGAGGGUGCAAGCGUUAUCCGGAUUCACUGGGCUUAAAGGGUGCGUAGGUGGGUUAUUAAGUCAGGGGUGAAAUCUCCGGGCUCAACUCGGAAACUGCCAUUGAUACUAGUAGUCUUGAAUAUCGUGGAGGUAAGCGGAAUAUGUCAUGUAGCGGUGAAAUGCUUAGAUAUGACAUAGAACACCAAUUGCGAAGGCAGCUUACUGGCCGAAUAUUGACACUGAGGCACGAAAGCGUGGGGAGCAAACAGG
rnacentral:rRNA from 1 species